rnacentral:rRNA from 1 species
CCUACGGGCGGCUGCAGUGAGGAAUAUUGCACAAUGGGCGAAAGCCUGAUGCAGCGACGCCGCGUGGAGGAUGAAGGUCUUCGGAUUGUAAACUCCUGUUAAGUGGGAAAAAAGACUUGCUUUUAAUAGAAGCGAGGGAUGAUGGUACCACUAAAGAAAGCACCGGCUAACUUCGUGCCAGCAGCCGCGGUAAUACGAGGGGUGCAAACGUUAUUCGGAAUCAUUGGGCGUAAAGGGUACGUAGACGGCGAAAUAAGUCAGUCAUUAAAUCUUCUAGCUCAACUAGAAAUCUGUGACUGAAACUGAUUUGCUUGAGGAUGGAAGAGAGAAGCGGAAUUCUCGGAGUAGCGGUAAAAUGCGUAGAUCUCGAGAGGAACACCGAUGGCGAAGGCAGCUUCUUGGUCCAUAUCUGACGCUGAGGUACGAAAGCGUGGGGAGCAAACAGGAUUAGAUACCCCGGUAGUC